UACAGAGGGUGCAAGCGUUGUUCGGAAUUACUGGGCGUAAAGGGCGCGUAGGCGGCCUGUUAAGUCGGACGUGAAAUCCCCGGGCUCAACCCGGGAACUGCGUCCGAUACUGGCAGGCUUGAAUCCGGGAGAGGGAUGUGGAAUUCCAGGUGUAGCGGUGAAAUGCGUAGAUAUCUGGAGGAACACCGGUGGCGAAGGCGGCAUCCUGGACCGGCAUUGACGCUGAGGCGCGAAAGCCAGGGGAGCAAACGGG
rnacentral:rRNA from 1 species